AUUGAACGCUGGCGGCAUGCCUUACACAUGCAAGUCGAACGGCAGCACGGGGCAACCUGGUGGCGAGUGGCGAACGGGUGAGUAACGCGUUGGUGACCUGCCCCGAAGAGAGGGAUAACAGUUCGAAAGGGCUGCUAAUACCUCAUAAUAUCUACCGAGUUAGAAGGAGGUAGAUGAAAGGAGCAAUCCGCUUUGGGAGGGGCCUGCGUCCCAUCAGCUAGUUGGUAGGGUAAAAGCCUACCAAGGCGAAGACGGGUAGGGGGCCUGAGAGGGUGACCCCCCACACGGGCAAUGAAACACGGGCCAGACACCUGCGGGUGGCAGCAGUAGGGAAUAGUGCACAAUGGGCGAAAGCCUGAUGCAGCGACGCCGCGUGCGCGAUGACGGCCUUCGGGUUGUAAAGCGCUUUUCGGGGAGAUGAGGAAGGACAGUAUCCCCGGAAUAAGGCUCGGCUAACUACGUGCCAGCAGCCGCCGUAAAAC
rnacentral:rRNA from 1 species